rnacentral:tmRNA from 1 species
GGGGCCGGAUUGGUUUCGACAGCAGAGACAGUGGGAUAGUUUGCAUGCCGAGGAUGGAGUGUUACCUCGUUAAUCAUCAUUCCAAUCGAAUAAAUGGCAACAAUUAUUCUGUUGCAUUAGCUGCUUAAUCCGAAUUGAUUAAGUGCUAAUUGCCUCCCCAGUAGCUAUACUCAGUGGCGACUGGGAUCUGGUAUCAUAAAUACUGAGUCCAUUAAAAGACUGGCUACAAUCUUUUAAUGGUAUCUUGUAGCUGUGGAAAUUAAUGGGAGCUUAUCCCCUAAUUAAUUUCCAAGAUUUAAUAGAUAGGCUAAGCAUGUAGAUGACUAUUUUGCUGGCUGCUUGGACGAGGGUUCGACUCCCUCCGGCUCCACUU